rnacentral:rRNA from 1 species
GACGAACGCUGGCGGCGCGCUUAACACAUGCAAGUCGAACGGAAAGGCCUGCUUUCCCUUGUGGAUUGCGGGUACUCGAGUGGCGAACGGGUGAGUAACACGUGAGUGAUCUGCCCCCAACUUGGGUACAAGCCUGGGAAACUGGGUCUAAUUCCCGAUAGGACUGCAGGGUGGUGCCUGUGGUGGAAAACGAUUUUCUAGUGGUUGGGGAUGAGCUCGCGGCCUAUCAGCUUGUUGGUGGGGUAAUGGCCUACCAAGGCGGCGACGGGUAGCCGGCCUGAGAGGGUGGACGGCCACAUUGGGACUGAGAUACGGCCCAGACUCCUACGGGAGGCAGCAGUGGGGAAUAUUGCACCAUGGGCGGAAGCCUGAUGCAGCGACGCCGCGUGGGGGAUGACGGCCUUCGGGUUGUAAACUCCUUUCGACCGCGAGGAAGCCACCUGGUUGGAAGGGUGGUGACGGUAGUGGUAGAAGAAGCACCGGCUAACUACGUG